CCAUGAUCCAGGACCACCCAGCUAAGCUGCUCCUAAAUCCUGACCCUCAGAAAUUCUGGCUAAGUCCCUCAUAGCUUUUGGAUCCUUACUGGGCAUCUUCUUCUGGGAAAGCUCUGUGGCCCCCAAACUCCACCCAGCAUAAUGGUAUAAUGUUCCAGUUCUGAAAAGUGAUUCUGAAUUUACUCACCCACCUCCCCACCUGUCUGGGUUGGAGAAAAGACUGCAGUGGCCCAAUGCUGAAGAAGCAUCCCUUUCCUUAGUGAACUUGCACAUGAGCUACAGGUCAAGAAACUGAGGCAAAGAGCAACCUCUGAAGCUAAGAUGGUUCCAACAAGGCUCCACUCAAUGGUGCUGUCCAGCACUGGAGCUGUGUGGCUCCUGCCCUCCCUAUUUGUUCCUUCUCUGACCACCCUCUCUGCCUAGACUGGCCCCCACUCAUCCAUGUGGCAAAUUCAUGCUCAUCCUCAAAUUCA
rnacentral:lncRNA from 1 species